rnacentral:tRNA from 1 species
GCCCCUAUAGCUCAGUGGUAGAGCGUUGCACUCGUAAUGCAAAGGUCCAUUGUUCGAUCCAGUGUCGGGGCA